UACCCAGAAGAGUGGCUCAAGUUCACAUUCAGAAUUUAUUUGUUGAAAGAGUAUCUCCACUUUAUCACAAUCGAGCACUUCCAAUUCUUUCAGAAGUGGCCAGCUUGAACUAAACCUUCUAGAGCAAAAUCUUUUGAGUUGGUGUAAACCGGAGAGUGUGAGAGAGGUAAGGUUAGGGAAUGAGAGUAAAGGUGCUGCUUCAUCUUCAUUUUCAUUGGCAACAAUUGCCUCCACUCCACUCUCCGAUAUAUAAAGGUCCUCAAGUUGCACAAGAGCACUCGCCACAGAAACCGGAAAAAGGUUUAGCAAUUUGUUGCAUCCCCUUCCUUGCAAUUUCCUUAAUUUGGAAAAUGAAUUUGCUGGAAGUUGGUCAGGCCACAAUGCUCUUAUAUUAUCUAGUCCACGUACAGACAAGGACUCCAAGCCUGGGAGUGCAACCUGUGCAAUUGAUGAUCCCUUUAGUUAAUAAUAUAUACAUAUACAUUCCUAAUAAUUAGACACAUGUAAAUAGAAAAUAAGAGGUUAAAGGAGAAUAUAUCAGUAUAACAAAGCACAAAAUUUAAACUAGAUUCAAGAAGAUCAAGAAAGAGAAAAGAAAAGAAAAAGCCUCCAGAUUUUGAAGAUACAAUGAAACUUAAAAAAAAAAAAAAAAAAACUUCCAAAUUUUCCUUUCGAAAUGAGGUAAUAAGAGGAUUUUUUUUUUCUUUUUUCUUUGCCUCUCUUUCAAAUUUGAUUAACUUCUAUGGAAAACGUAUUUUAACUAGUUAUGGAAAACCGAUUUUUUUUUUUUUAACUUUUAUAUAAGAUACAAGUAAUACUUUAAAAAAAUUGUGAUAUCUAAAUAAUUUUUUGAAAAAUUAUUUUUAAAGAAAUAAGGUAAAUCUAUACUUUUUGUACAAGAUGUUCUACCUUUAUAUACAAAUUUCUGAUUUUUUUUUUAAAAGUGUAUCCAAAUGGACACUAAACUAUCUAGUUUUUAAUUGUUACAACUUUGAAUUGGAUUUUAUGGUAAACUAAUUUACAAGUUAAUGCAUGGAUUCAUCUUAGAUUCCAUCUAUAAAUUUUUUUAAUUAUCUAAUAUAAGACAUUAUAUUAAUGAGUUGAAUUAAUAAUGUAAUUAUAAUUUAUUUGGCAACUUUCUUCCUUCAAAUAUAUAAAAUGAAAAUAAAGUUUAAAAAAUAAAAAAAAUGAAAAAAAUAAAAAAUAAAAAAUGAUUUUUUUUAUAGUUUUUCUAAGAUGAUUUUGUAGAGUACUGUUAGUUUAUAGUUUUAACUUUAUUUCAUUUUACUUUUAACUUUAUUUAUUGAGGUAUGUUCUUUUUUGAAACUCUUGUUUAGAUUUUAUAGAGAAUAUAAAUUUUAAGAAAAAAAAUGAAAUUUAAAUAAAAUAAGAAUAAAGAAAGGCAAAAGGUGGAUGAAUUUUUUUAAGGCAAAAGUUUGAUAACUUGGCACUAUCAUGUAAUGGGUGAAAUUUUUAAAUACUCAACAAAGGCUAGUGAAAUUUAAAUUAAAAGCUUGACAUGUACCUUUUCGACCAAAAUCUUUGGAGUUGGUGUAAAGUUUUGAGUAUGAGAGAGGUUAGUCUAGGGAAUAUUAUUGCACAUUAGUUCAAAUAAAACAUCAACAUUUUUUUUUUGUUAAAUUCUAAAUGAACACCGCUAUAAAUUAAUGCGAUUUUGUAUGCUCAAUUAAAUAAACUUGUUCUUAAGGCAUCACAUGAAGUGUUUAAGUCUAAUUAAUAUUAAUUAAAAAUGAUUAUAUUAAAAAAAAUCCAAAGUAAUUUAUUUUUAUCAUAAGUCAAGUAGGAUAGUUUUAUAAAUAAUUGGUUCUAGUUUCUAGUACUAUUGUACACAAUCGCUAUGUUUGUUGCACCUCCAAAAAAUCUACUACUUGUAAUUAAUUGUAUAUUAUUCUCCAUAUUCACAUCAGUUUAUGUAGUAUGAUUAAUUUAGCAACAAAAUAUAAGUUUACUUGAAAUCGCUUUAAAUUCCUAUGAUAUUAAAGUUUAAGAUUAAAACAAUGUAACAUUAGCCAAAAAGAUUAAGAUCUAUAAUGUAACAUAUAAUAUUUAGAAAAUUCAAGGAAGGGUAAACUCGCACCUGUUCUACCCAGAAGAGUGGCUCAAGUUCACAUUCAUAAUUUAUUUGUUGAAAGAGUAUCUCCACUUUAUCACAAUCGAGCACUUCCAAUUCUUUCAGAAGUGGCCAGCUUGAACUAAACCUUCUAGAGAAAAAUCUUUUGAGUUGGUGUAAACCGGAGAGUGUAAGAGAGGUAAGGUUAGGGAAUAAGAGUAAAAGUGCUGCUUCAUCUUCAUUUUCAUUGGCAACAAUUGCCUCCACUCCACUUUCCGAUAUAUAUAGGUCCUCAAGUUGCACAAGAGCACUCGCCACAGAAACCGGAAAAAGGUUUAGCAAUUUGUUGCAUCCCCUUACUUGCAAUUUCCUUAAUUUGGAAAAUGAAUUUGCUGGAAGUUGGUCAGACCACAAUGCUCUUAUAUUAUCUAGUCCGCGUACAGACAAGGACUCCAAACCUGGGAGUGCAACCUGUGCAAUUGAUGAUCCCUUUAGUUAAUAAUAUAUACAUAUACAUUCCUAAUAAUUAGACACAUGUAAAUAGAAAAUAAGAGGUUAAAGGAGAAUAUAUCAGUAUAACAAAGCACAAAAUUUAAACUAGAUUCAAGAAGAUCAAGAAAGAGAAAAGAAAAGAAAAAGCCUCCAGAUUUUGAAGAUACAAUGAAACUUAACAAAAAAAAAAAAAAACCACCAAAUUUUCCUUUCGAAAUGAGGUAAUAAGAGGAUUUUUUUUUUUUCUUUUUUCUUUGCCUCUCUUUCAAAUUUGAUUAACUUCUAUGGAAAACGUAUUUUAACUAGUUAUGGAAAACAUAUUUUUUUUUUAAAAAACUUUUCUAUAAGAUACAAGUAAUACUUUAAAAAAAUUGUGAUAUCUAAAAAAUUUUUUGAAAAAUUAUUUUUAAAGAAAUAAGGUAAAUCUAUACUUUUUGUAUAAGAUGUUCUACCUUUAUAUACAAAUUUCUGAUUUUUUUUUUAAAAGUGUAUCCAAAUGGACACUAAACUAUCUAGUUUUUAAUUGUUACAACUUUGAAUUGGAUUUUAUGGUAAACUAAUUUACAAGUUAAUGCAUGGAUUCAUCUUAGAUUCCAUCUAUAAAUUUUUUUAAUUAUCUAAUAUAAGACAUUAUAUUAAUGGGUUGAAUUAAUAAUGUAAUUAUAAUUUAUUUGGCAAGUUUCUUCCUUCAAAUAUAUAAAAUGAAAAUAAAUUUUAAAAAAUAAAAAAAAUGAAAAAAAUAAAAAAUAAAAAAAGAUUUUUUUUAUAGUUUUUCUAAGAUGAUUUUGUAGAGUACUGUUAGUUUAUAGUUUUAACUUUAUUUCAUUUUACUUUUAACUUUAUUUAUUGAGGUAUGUUCUUUUUUGAAACUCUUGUUUAGAUUUUAUAGAGGAUAUAAAUUUUCAGAAAAAAAAAAUUAAAUUUAAAUAAAAUAGGAAUAAAGAAAGGCAAAAGGUGGAUGAAUUUUUUUAAGGCAAAAGUUUGAUAACUUGGCACUAUCAUGUAAUGGGUGAAAUUUUUAAAUACUCAACAAAGGCUAGUGAAAUUUAAAUUAAAAGCUUGACAUGUACCUUUUCGACCAAAAUCUUUGGAGUUGGUGUAAAGUUUUGAGUAUGAGAGAGGUUAGUCUAGGGAAUAUUAUUGCACAUUAGUUCAAAUAAAACAUCAACAUUUUUUUUUUUGUUAAAUUCUAAAUGAACACCACUAUAAAUUAAUGCGAUUUGUAUGCUCAAUUAAAUAAACUCGUUCUUAAGGCAUCACAUGAAGUGUUUAAGUCUAAUUAAUAUUAAUUAAAAAUGAUUAUUUUAAAAAAAUCCAAAGUAAUUUAUUUUUAUCAUAAGUCAAGUAGGAUAGUUUUAUAAAUAAUUGGUUCUAGUUUCUAGUAUUAUUGUACACAAUCGCUAUGUUUGUUGCACCUCCAAAAAAUCUACUACUUGUAAUUAAUUGUAUAUUAUUCUCCAUAUUCACAUCAGUUUAUGUAGUAUGAUUAAUUUAGCAACAAAAUAUAAGUUUACUUGAAAUCGCUUUAAAUUCCUAUGAUAUUAAAGUUUAAGAUUAAAACAAUGUAACAUUAGCCAAAAAGACUAAGAUCUAUAAUGUAACAUAUAAAAUUUAGAAAAUUCAAGGAAGGGUAAACUCGCACCUGUUCUACCCAGAAGAGUGGCUCAAGUUCACAUUCAGAAUUUAUUUGUUGAAAGAGUAUCUCCACUUUAUCACAAUCGAGCACUUCCAAUUCUUUCAGAAGUGGCCAGCUUGAACUAAACCUUCUAGAGCAAAAUCUUUUGAGUUGGUGUAAACCGGAGAGUGUGAGAGAGGUAAGGUUAGGGAAUGAGAGUAAAGGUGCUGCUUCAUCUUCAUUUUCAUUGGCAACAAUUGCCUCCACUCCACUCUCCGAUAUAUAAAGGUCCUCAAGUUGCACAAGAGCACUCGCCACAGAAACCGGAAAAAGGUUUAGCAAUUUGUUGCAUCCCCUUACUUGCAAUUUCCUUAAUUUGGAAAAUGAAUUUGCUGGAAGUUGGUCAGGCCACAAUGCUCUUAUAUUAUCUAGUCCGCGUACAGACAAGGACUCCAAACCUGGGAGUGCAACCUGUGCAAUUGAUGAUCCCUUUAGUUAAUAAUAUAUACAUAUACAUUCCUAAUAAUUAGACACAUGUAAAUAGAAAAUAAGAGGUUAAAGGAGAAUAUAUCAGUAUAACAAAGCACAAAAUUUAAACUCUAUUCAAGAAGAUCCAGAAAGAGAAAAGAAAACGCCUUUUGAUUUUGAAGAUCCAAUGAAACUUUAAAAAAAAAAAAAAAAACCUCCAAAUUUUGCUUUCCAAAUGAGGUAAUAGGAGGAUAUUUUUAUUUUAUUUUUUCUUUGCCUCUCUUUCAAAUUUGAUUAACUUCCAUGGAAAACGUAUUUUAACUAGCCAUGGAAAAUGGAUUUUUUUUUUAAAACUUUUAUAUAAGAUACAAGAACUCUUAGAGGGUUACAUUAUGUAAGUAAUACUUUAAAAAAAAUGUUUAAAAAUAUUGUGAUAUCCAAAAAUUUUACUACCUCGGAUUUUAAAUUUUAAAAAAAUUAUUUUUAAAGAAAUAAGGUAAAUCUAUACUUUUUCGUAUAAGAUAUUCUACCUUUAUAUACAAAUUUCUGAUUUUUUUUUUAAAGUGUAUCCAAAUGGACACUAAACUAUCUAGUUUCGAAUUUUUACAACUUUGAAUUGGAUUUUAUGGUAAACUAAUUGACAAUAUAACGCAUGGAUUCAUCUUAGAUUCCAUCUAUAAAUUUUUUAAUUAUCUAAUAUAAGACAUUAUAUUAAUGGGUUGAAUUAAUAAUGUAAUUAUAAUUUAUUUGGCAACUUUCUUCCUUCAAAUAUAUAAGACGAAAAUAUAUUUUAAAAAAUAAAAAAGAAUGAUAAAAAAUAGAAAAUAAAAAUAGCUUAUUUUAUUGUUUUUCUAAGAUGAUUUUGUAGAGUGUUAGUUUAUAGUUUAACUUUAUUUCAUUUUACUUUUAACAUUAUUUAUUGAGGUAUGUUCUUUUUUGAAACUCUUGUUUAGAUUUUAUAGAGAAUAUAAAUUUUAAGAAAAAAAAUGAAAUUUAAAUAAAAUAAGAAUAAAGAAAGGCAAAAGGUGGAUGAAUUUUUUGAAGGCAAAAGUUUGAUAAUUUGGCACUGUCAUGUAAUGGGUGAAAUUUUUAAAUACUCAACAAAGGCUAGUGAAAUUUAAAUUAAAACCUUGACAUGUACCUUUUCGACCAAAAUCUUUGGAGUUGGUGUAAAGUUUUGAGUAUGAGAGAGGUUAGUCUAGGGAAUAUUAUUGCACAUUAGUUCAAAUAAAACAUCAACAUUUUUUUUUGUUAAAUUCUAAAUGAACACCACUAUAAAUUAAUGCGAUUUUGUAUGCUCAAUUAAAUAAACUCGUUCUUAAGGCAUCACAUGAAGUGUUUAAGUCUAAUUAAUAUUAAUUAAAAAUGAUUAUAUCAAAAAAAAUCCAAAGUAAUUUUUUUUUAUCAUAAGUCAAGUAGGAUAGUUUUAUAAAUAAUUGGUUCUAGUUUCUAGUAUUAUUGUACACAAUCGCUAUGUUUGUUGCACCUCCAAAAAAUCUACUACUUGUAAUUAAUUGUAUAUUAUUCUCCAUAUUCACAUCAGUUUAUGUAGUAUGAUUAAUUUAGCAACAAAAUAUAAGUUUACUUGAAAUCGCUUUAAAUUCCUAUGAUAUUAAAGUUUAAGAUUAAAACAAUGUAACAUUAGCCAAAAAGACUAAGAUCUAUAAUGUAACAAAUAAAAUUUAGAAAAUUCAAGGCAGGGUAAACUCGCACCUGUUCUACCCAGAAGAGUGGCUCAAGUUCACAUUCAGAAUUUAUUUGUUGAAAGAGUAUCUCCACUUUAUCACAAUCGAGCACUUCCAAUUCUUUCAGAAGUAGCCAGCUUGAACUAAACCUUCUAGAGCAAAAUCUUUUGAGUUGGUGUAAACCGGAGAGUGUGAGAGAGGUAAGGUUAGGGAAUAAGAGUAAAGGUGCUGCUUCAUCUUCAUUUUCAUUGGCAACAAUUGCCUCCACUCCACUCUCCGAUAUAUAUAGGUCCUCAAGUUGCACAAGAGCACUCGCCACAGAAACCCGAAAAAGGUUUAGCAAUUUGUUGAAUCCCCUUACAUGCAAUUUCCUUAAUUUGGAAAAUGAAUUUGUUGGAAGUUGGUCAGGCCACAAUGCUCUUAUAUUAUCCAGUCCGCAUACAUACAAGGACUCCAAGCCUUGGAGUGCAACCUGUGCAAUUGAUAAUCCCUUUGGUUAAUAAUAUAUACAUAUACAUUCCUAAUGAUUAGACACAUGUAAAUAGAAAAUAAGAGGUUAAAGGAGAAUAUAUCAGUAUAACAAAGCACAAAAUUUAAACUAGAUUAAAGAAGAUCAAGAAAGAGAAAAGAAAAGAAAAAGCCUCCAGAUUUUGAAGAUACAAUGAAACUUAAAAAAAAAAAAAAAAAACCUCCAAAUUUUCCUUUCGAAAUGAGGUAAUAAGAGGAUUUUUUUUUUCUUUUUUCUUUGCCUCUCUUUCAAAUUUGAUUAACUUCUAUGGAAAACGUAUUUUAACUAGUUAUGGAAAACGGAUUUUUUUUUUUAAAAACUUUUAUAUAAGAUACAAGUAAUACUUUAAAAAAAUUGUGAUAUCUAAAAAAUUUUUUGAAAAAUUAUUUUUAAAGAAAUAAGGUAAAUCUAUACUUUUUGUAUAAGAUGUUCUACCUUUGUAUUCAAAUUUCUGAUUUUUUUUUUUUAAAGUGUAUCCAAAUGCACACUAAACUAUCUAGUUUUUAAUUGUUACAACUUUGAAUUGGAUUUUAUGGUAAACUAAUUUACAAGUUAAUGCAUAGAUUCAUCUUAGAUUCCAUCUAUAAAUUUUUUUAAUUAUCUAAUAUAAGACAGUAUAUUAAUGGGUUGAAUUAAUAAUGUAAUUAUAAUUUAUUUGGCAACUUUCUUCCUUCAAAUAUAUAAAAUGAAAAUAAAUUUUAAAAAAUAAAAAAUAAAAAAAAGAUUUUUUUUAUAGUUUUUCUAAGAUGAUUUUGUAGAGUUCUGUUAGUUUAUAGUUUUCACUUUAUUUAUUGAGGUAUGUUCUUUUUUGAAACUCUUGUUUAGAUUUUAUUGAGAAUAUAAAUUUUAAGAAAAAAAAUAAAAUUUAAAUAAAAUAAGAAUAAAGAAAGGCAAAAGCUGGAUGAAUUUUUUUAAGGCAAAAGUUUGAUAAUUUGGCACUCUCAUGUAAUGGGUGAAAUUUUUAAAUACUCAACAAAGGCUAGUGAAAUUUAAAUUAAAACCAUGACAUGUACCUUUUAGACCAAAAUCUUUGGAGUUGGUGUAAUGUUUUGAGUAUGAGAGAGGUUAGUCUAGGGAAUAUUAUUGCACAUUAGUUCAAAUAAAACAUCAACAUUUUUUUUUGUUAAAUUCUAAAUGAACACCACUAUAAAUUAAUGCGAUUUUGUAUGCUCAAUUAAAUAAACUCGUUCUUAAGGCAUCACAUGAAGUGUUUAAGUCUAAUUAAUAUUAAUUAAAAAUGAUUAUAGUAAAAAAAAUCCAAAGUAAUUUUUUUUUAUCAUAAGUCAAGUAGGAUAGUUUUAUAAAUAAUUGGUUCUAGUUUCUAGUAUUAUUGUAGACAAUCGCUAUGUUUGUUGCACCUCCAAAAAAUCUACUACUUGUAAUUAAUUGUAUAUUAUUCUCCAUAUUCACAUCAGUUUAUGUAGUAUGAUUAAUUUAGCAACAAAAUAUAAGUUUACUUGAAAUGGCUUUAAAUUCCUAUGAUAUUAAAGUUUAAGAUUAAAACAAUGUAACAUUAGCAAAAAAGAUUAAGAUCUAUAAUGUAACAAAUAAAAUUUAGAAAAUUCAAGGCAGGGUAAACUCGCACCUGUUCUACCCAGAAGAGUGGCUCAAGUUCACAUUCAGAAUUUAUUUGUUGAAAGAGUAUCUCCACUUUAUCACAAUCGAGCACUUCCAAUUCUUUCAGAAGUAGCCAGCUUGAACUAAACCUUCUAGAGCAAAAUCUUUUGAGUUGGUGUAAACCGGAGAGUGUGAGAGAGGUAAGGUUAGGGAAUAAGAGUAAAGGUGCUGCUUCAUCUUCAUUUUCAUUGGCAACAAUUGCCUCCACUCCACUCUCUGAUAUAUAUAGGUCCUCAAGUUGCACAAGAGCACUCGCCACAGAAACCCGAAAAAGGUUUAGCAAUUUGUUGAAUCCCCUUACAUGCAAUUUCCUUAAUUUGGAAAAUGAAUUUGUUGGAAGUUGGUCAGGCCACAAUGCUCUUAUAUUAUCCAGUCCGCAUACAUACAAGGACUCCAAGCCUGGGAGUGCAACCUGUGCAAUUGAUAAUCCCUUUGGUUAAUAAUAUAUACAUAUACAUUCCUAAUAAUUAGACACAUGUAAAUAGAAAAUAAGAGGUUAAAGG
rnacentral:lncRNA from 1 species